GAUGAACGCUAGCGGCAGGCUUAAUACAUGCAAGUCGUGGGGCAGCGCAGUGUAGCAAUACAUGGGCGGCGACCGGCAAACGGGUGCGUAACACGUACGCAACCUUCCCGUUACUGGGGAAUAGCCCAGGGAAACUUGGAUUAAUCACCCAUAUUAUAUUGAUUGGGCAUCUAAUUAAUAUCAAAGCUUAGGCGGUAACGGAUGGGCGUGCGGUUGAUUAGGUAGUUGGCGGGGUAACGGCCCACCAAGCCUACGAUCAAUAGCUGAUGUGAGAGCAUGAUCAGCCACACGGGCACUGAGACACGGGCCCGACUCCUACGGGAGGCAGCAGUAAGGAAUAUUGGGCAAUGGACGAAAGUCUGACCCAGCCAUGCCGCGUGGAGGAUGAAGGUCCUCUGGAUUGUAAACUUCUUUUUUCUGGGGCGAAAACCGGUUUUUCUAAACCAUUUGACAGUACCAGAAGAAUAAGCACCGGCUAACUCCGUGCCAGCAGCCGCCGUAAGAC
rnacentral:rRNA from 1 species